AUUGAACGCUGGCGGCAUGCUUUACACAUGCAAGUCGAACGGCAGCGCGGGCUUCGGCCUGGCGGCGAGUGGCGAACGGGUGAGUAAUACAUCGGAACGUGCCCAGUAGUGGGGGAUAGCUCGGCGAAAGCCGGAUUAAUACCGCAUACGACCUGAGGGUGAAAGCGGGGGAUCUUCGGACCUCGCGCUAUUGGGGCGGCCGAUGGCAGAUUAGCUAGUUGGUGGGGUAAAGGCCUACCAAGGCGACGAUCUGUAGCUGGUCUGAGAGGACGACCAGCCACAAUGGGAAUGAGACAAGGCCCAGACUCCCACGGGAGGCAGCAGUGGGGAAUUUUGGACAAUGGGCGAAAGCCUGAGCCAGCAAUGCCGCGUGUGUGAUGAAGGCCUUCGGGUUGUAAAGCACUUUUGGCGGGAACGAAAAGGACUGUGCCAAUACCACGGUUGGAUGACGGUACCCGAAGAAUAAGCACCGGCUAACCACGUGC
rnacentral:rRNA from 1 species